rnacentral:rRNA from 1 species
GCAGUGGGGAAUUUUGGACAAUGGGCGCAAGCCUGAUCCAGCAAUGCCGCGUGAGUGAAGAAGGCCUUCGGGUUGUAAAGCUCUUUUGUCAGGGAAGAAACGGUGCUUUCUAAUACAGAGCGCUAAUGACGGUACCUGAAGAAUAAGCACCGGCUAACUACGUGCCAGCAGCCGCGGUAAUACGUAGGGUGCAAGCGUUAAUCGGAAUUACUGGGCGUAAAGCGUGCGCAGGCGGUUUUGUAAGACUGUCGUGAAAUCCCCGGGCUCAACCUGGGAAUGGCGAUGGUGACUGCAAGGCUAGAGUUUGGCAGAGGGGGGUAGAAUUCCACGUGUAGCAGUGAAAUGCGUAGAUAUGUGGAGGAACACCGAUGGCGAAGGCAGCCCCCUGGGUCAAAACUGACGCUCAUGCACGAAAGCGUGGGGAGCAAACAGGAUUAGA